CGGGCUUCGGGAUUGCAAUGAGCCGAAUUUACACCCCUUAGCGAGGAUCAAUUGGAGGGCAAGUCUGGUGCCAGCAGCCGCGGUAAUUCCAGCUCCAAUAGCGUAUAUUAAAGUUGUUGCAGUUAAAAAGCUCGUAGUUGGAUUUCUGGGAGGGUGCCAAUGUCCGCCGACGUGCGUGCGCAGCGGCGCCCUCUCAUCCUUCUGUUAACGUCUCUCGGCAUUCACUUGCCGGUGGCGGGCUCAGAUAUUUUACCUUGAGAAAAUUAGAGUGUUUCAGGCAGGCUAGGCCGGAAUACAUUAGCAUGGAAUAAUGGAAUAGGACUUCGGUCUCUUUGUUGGUUUGAGGGACUGCAGUAAUGAUUAAUAGGGAUAGUUGGGGGCAUUAGUAUUUAAUUGUCAGAGGUGGAAUUCUCGGAUUUGUUAAAGACUAACUUAUGCGAAAGCAUUUGCCAAGGAUGUUUUCAUUAAUCAAGAACGAAAGUUAGGGGAUCAAAGACGAUCAGAUACCGUCCUAGUCUUAACCAUAAACUAUGCCGACUCGGGAUCGGGGGCGCGAACUAUCCGCCUUCG
rnacentral:rRNA from 1 species